rnacentral:rRNA from 1 species
GCCUGUCUAAGUACAAGCCUCACUAAGGUGAAACCGCGAAUGGCUCAUUAAAUCACACCUAAUCUACUGGAUAGUUAACAGUUACUUGGAUAACUGCGGUAAUUCUGGAGCUAAUACAUGCACAAAGCCUCGAACUUACGUGAGAGGUGCUUUUAUUAGAUCAAAACCAAACGGCUUCGGCUGUAAUACUGGUGACUCUGAAUAACUUUGGGCUGAUCGCAUAGCCUAGUGCUGGCGACAUAUCCUUCGAAGGUGUGCCCUAUCAUCUGUCGACUGUGGCAUAGACGCCCACAGUGGAUUUGACGGGUAACGGGGAAUCAGGGUUCGAUUCCGGAGAGGGAGCCUUAAAAACGGCUACCACAUCUAAGGAAGGCAGCAGGCACGCAAAUUACCCAAUGACCGAAGGUCGAGGUAGUGACGAAAAAUAACGAUACGAGACUCAUCCGAGGCCUCGUAAUCGGAAUGAGUACACUUUAAAACCGUCCCCGAGGAUCUAUUGGAGGGCAAGUCUGGUGCCAGCAGCCGCGGUAAUUCCAGCUCCAAUAGCGUAUAUUAAAGUUGUUGUGGUUAAAAAGCUCGUAGUUGGAUCUCGGCGGUCUGGGAUCGGUUUGCUUGCUAGCAUUACUGAUCCAUAGACCGUAGUUUUGCCCGAGGUUGUACGGUGCUCUUCACCGAGUGUCGUUUGACGCGGGCAGGUUUACUUUGAAAAAAUUAGAGUGCUCAAAGCAGGCUAUCACGCCUGAAUAUUCGUGCAUGGAAUAAUAGAAUNAGGAAGUCGUUUCUAUUUUGUUGGUUUUAGGAAAUCGACUUAAUGAUUAAUAGGGACAGUCGGGGGCAUUUGUAUUCAAACGACAGAGGUGAAAUUCUUGGACCGUUUGAAGACAAACUACUGCGAAAGCAUUUGCCAAGAAUGUUUUCUUUAAUCAAGAACGAAAGUUAAAGGUU